UAUUAUAGCAUAUGUUGUGUUUAAGGCUGGAGUAGUAAUAGUAGGUGCUUGAAACUCAAAGAAUUUGGCGGUAUUUUAGUCCUUUCAGAGGAACCUGUUCUGUAAUUGAUAGUACACGAUUUGCUUUACUUUUCUUAUUAAUUUGUAUACCGUCGUCAUAAGAUUAUCUUGUUAAGGGUUAAAAAUUUCUUUAUUUUGUAUUGGAGUUAUGUCAGAUCAAGGUGCAGUUUAUAGGGAAGAAGAAAUGGGUUACAAUAGUGUUAAUUAUUUACGGAGAAGUUUAUAUAAUUGUUUGUUUUGAAGGUGGAUUUGAUGGUAAAUUUAUUUAAAUAGGUGAAUUGAUUUGGGCUCUAGAAUGUGCACACAUCGCCCGUCGCUCUCAUUAUAAUAUGAG
rnacentral:rRNA from 1 species